AAGUGUGAUUUAUAUUUUUAAAUAAUGUUUCAAUUUUUGUAUUUAUCAUUGUGUUUAUUAAUGUAAUUAAUUAUGGGAUUUUCACUUAUACAUUUAUUUUAGCACAAGUUAAUUUAAUUCUCCCCCAUCCAGAAUUGAGGCUACCCAGAGUGUACAGCAGAGCUAAAUCUUUCUUAUGCAAAUGACAGUAUGCAAAUUAAUGUCAUGGUUGAGUACUUUUGUUAGGACUUGGAUGCCAUGUGCAUUCCCCAGGGCACUGCUAUUCUAGACUUCGCUGUGUGCAGUCCUGUGUGAGUACAUGUACAUGUACAUGUAUAUACAGUGGUACUGUGUGUACCAGGGCGUGGCCCAUGAUUUAAAAAGCCAGUUUAUCCUGCAAACUGGCUUUUCCCUGUGGGAAUAGAGAAUUCCUAGGUUCUUGGUGAACCAGAUAGCUUGUUCUGUGUGAACAACAGUUAGCCAACUCCCAAGACUAGCUCACGGUCUACCGAGAGAGUCAGGAGGAAGAUUCGGAACCGAGUCCUGUGUGGACCAGGCAUCGAGCCAGAUUCCAAGGCCCGGAGAGGUCACCCAAGUUCCCCAAGCCCGGAGUUCAUCCGCCUUAGUGGGAUCGUCAAAGCGCCGGAGGGAUGUUGUGUGUGUGACUGGUGCUCCAAAUCGACCACCCGUGUCACAAGUGUGAGCUUUGAACACGGCAAGUCCUUCAAAAGGUUUUGAACAGUGACUGUUUAGGGGGGUGAUUGCAUUUGUUUUGGGGUAUUGGAAACGGCCGUAUAACACAUAAUACAGGAUCCUUAUAAUGCCAUGAUAUAGUUGAGUAUCCGUCACUCAAAGUAUAAGUAAUUCAUAUAGUGGCAUAAUUCAAUUGAAAUAAUUUGUACAUAGUAAAUUUCCGUUUGUUUAAUAUAUUUAUUUGUCGUAAUUAAAUAGUAUUUUGUCUUGAUCAUACA